rnacentral:rRNA from 1 species
UACGUAGGGACCAAGCGUUGUCCGGAAUCAUUGGGCGUAAAGAGCGCGUAGGCGGCUUGUUAAGUCUUGCGUGAAAUCUCGGGGCUCAACCCCGAGCGGUCGUGAGAAACUGGCAGGCUAGAGUGCGGGAGAGGAGAGUGGAAUUCCUGGUGUAGCGGUGAAAUGCGCAGAUAUCAGGAAGAACACCCGUGGCGAAGGCGGCUCUCUGGAACGCAACUGACGCUGAGGCGCGAAAGCGUGGGGAGCAAACAGG